rnacentral:rRNA from 1 species
GACGAACGCUGGCGGCGUGCUUAACACAUGCAAGUCGAACGAAGUGGCGAACGGGUGAGUAACGCGUAAUCAACCUGCCCUUCAGAGGGGGACAACAGUUGGAAACGACUGCUAAUACCGCAUACUGAAGGGGGGGGUUGCGUCGGAGUAGCUAGUUGGAGGGGUAACGGGCCACCAAGGCGAUGAUCAGUAGCCGGGUUGGGAGGAUGAACGGCCACAUCUGGACCGAGACACGGCUCAGAACACUACGGGAGGCAGCAGUGGGGAAUCUUCCGACAUUGACGAAAGUCCGACGGAGCAACUGCGCGUGAGUGAUGAAGGCCCUCGGGUUGUAAAGCUAUGUUAAUCGGGACGCGGUACCGGCAUAGAAAGCCACGGCUAACUACGUGCCAGCAGCCGCGGUAAUAC